rnacentral:rRNA from 1 species
UAACACCAGCGCCACAAGUGGCAAUCGCAUUUAUUUGGCUUAAAGCGUCCGUAGCCGGUUUAAUAAAUCUUUUGUGAAAUCGUUAGACUUAAUCUAACGGCGCGCAGAAGAGACUAUUAAACUUGGAACCGGGAGAAGUUAGAAGUAUUUUUGGGGGAGCGGUAAAAUGCUAUAAUCCCAAAAGGACUAUCCGUGGCGAAGGCGUCUAACUAGAACGGCUUCGACGGUGAGGGACGAAAGCCAGGGGAGCGAUCCGGAUUAGAUACCCGAGUAGUCCUGGCUGUAAACGCUGCGAGCUGGGUGUUACAUAUUCUUAAAGAAUAUGUAGUGUCGAAGCGAAAGUGUUUAGCUCGCCGCCUGGGAAGUAUAGUCGCAAGGCCG